CCUGAAUAUGAGCUAUUCAGCAGUGAAAAUGAAAAUAUAGUGACGACAUUGAUGAAAAUUCUGACAAUUUAACUUAGGUGAACUUUUGAGCUAUUGUGACCAAUAGGAUAUAAGAUGCAAUAAACAUGAUAGAGGAUUCAUAUCGGAAUCUAUUAUGCAAUUAUAUCACUUCAUAUUGAGAGAUUCCAACUUAAAUAAAACCAAUGCCCUUUUGCUCUACAUUUCAUUUUCAUAUCGUGUGUCACGACACCAGUGGUUUGUAAAAUUAUUUGGUUGAAAUUUCCAUUUACCUCACUUUUAUUUUUAAAAAAUCCUGAUUCCCUCUCUUCCCUCUCUAUGCUUUCACAACUUCAUUUUCACUCUCUCCCCUAUCAAGACUAUAUUCUGAUCUAUAGCUUCCACAACAACUUGCUUCUUCUCCACCUCCUGUAAGUGCAUCCCUUACCUUGAUUCUUUCAUUUAUAGAAUUAUGCUUAUUUUCGCUUUGAUUUGUCCUUUCUUUUAAAGCUUCAAAUAUGAUUUUGGAUCACAAUAAGUUCUCAUUUUUUUACGUCUCUGAUCGAAAAUCGAAGUAAAAAGGAAGCAUUACGAACAUAACACACAACCUUCAAAAUAUAUAUGAAGAAGACAAUCAAUGUCUAAAUGGAAUGAAGAGGGAAGAGCAUAUAAAUAUUCAUGAAUUGUGAGAUAAAAUUAGAACUAGGGAUUAUAUAAAUUUACUCAGAUCUUCCAUUUUCAACAUAAUACUUUACUAAUUAUUUUUCUACAAAGCCAGGUACAAUUAAUGAAAGGCUGUUAGUGUUCCUCAGAUACAAGAAAUGAUGAGCAAGUUGGAAAUAAAUUUUACAUGAUUCUUUCCCAAAUCCUUUACUACUGUUUUUGUCUUUCUUUUUUAUUUUUCCCCUUUCUUUUAUUUCUUCUUUCCCUUAUUUAUUUGUUUAUUUAUAUUGUUAUAGAGUAGUCAAGUCAUUUCCAUGAGUUUUUUAUUAUUAUGGAUUAGAAAACUAAAACUGAUAUUAUAACCACCAGAGCAAUAGUAAAAGCCACAUAUAAUGGUGAUUGACCUCUUUUCUUAUUCUUAGUUUCGAAUUAAUGGAAUUUUAAAAUAAAUAUCCUUUUUUCUUAUGUUUCUUUAUCUUUCUUUUUAGACUUAUUUAAAUUUCCAUCUUCAUAUUCAAAAUUUGAUUUCUAUCGAAUUGACAUUUAUUCUUGUCUGAUGUUUUUUAUUAUGAUUUAUUAUUAUUUAUGGUUGGUAUCUUUUCCAUUUUCAAAUUGUAAUUUAUUAUUGAUCUAUGAGUUUUAAUACUUUUCUAUACUCUGCGCCUAAACUAUGAUUUUUCCUUUUAAGUAAGACAUAAAAUGUCAUUGUGUAUUAUUAAUUUAUUUAAUGAACUAAUUUGUUGCUUAUGAGUAAAAAUCCAGAGGGCUAAUACUUGCUAGUAUUAUAUAUUUCCAACUUCAAUAUGCUGGUCAUGCUGCUGAUUGUAGGCACUAGAUGUUGCUGAUCAUGUUAUUGGGAUGUACUGCUUUAUCAUGCGGGUAAGAUUCGGUAGACUUAAAGUGUAUCAUUUUGAUGUCAUGCCUGUAACAUUUAAGUUUUAUAUUUUCUCAAUACUAAUAAAUUGUUUAUAAAUUUGAAGGAAAACACGAGAAGGUAAUUAAUUGGUUGAUUUCGAUACUUUAUUUGAUUUUUUUUUAAUUUAUAUUCUGUAACCAUUUGAAUGAAAAGGAAUGGUACAAUACCUCUUAAAAAGUUCAUGACAAAAUCAGUGACUUUACUACAUGAAAUCUCUAGAUUUGUCAAGCUUCCAUGUUCUAGAAUCAAAUUGAAUCAAAUAGAUGUAUAAUUAGUUACUAAAACACGCGUCUAAUAAAACAUUUUCUAGAUUCUCACUUGAGGAAAUUCAACUUUACUUGGGAGAAACAUGUGUUGAUUCUUAAAAUGGAGUUAAUUACCUAAAUAUGAGCUAUUCAGUAGUGAAAAUGAAAAUACACUGACGACAUUGAUGAAAAUUCUGAUAAUUUAACUUAGGUGAACUUUUGAGCUAUUGUGACCAAUAGGAUAUAAGAUGCAACAAACAUGAUAGAGGAUUCAUAUCGGAAUCUAUUAUGCAAUUAUAUCACUUCAUAUUGAGAGAUUCCAACUUUGAACUUUUGAGCUAUUGUGACCAAUAGGAUAUAAGAUGCAACAAACAUGAUAGAGGAUUCAUAUCGGAAUCUAUUAUGCAAUUAUAUCACUUCAUAUUGAGAGAUUCCAACUUAAAUAAAACCAAUGGCCUUUUGCUCUACAUUUCAUUUUCAUGUCGUGUGUCACGACACCAGUGGUUUGUAAAAUUAUUUGGUUGAAAUUUCCAUUUACUUCACUUCUAUUUUUAAAAAAUAAUGAUUCCCUCUCUUCCCUCUCUAUGCUUUCACAACUUCAUUUUCACUCUCUCCCCUAUCAAGACUAUAUUCUGAUCUAUAGCUUCCACAACAACUUGCUUCUUCUCCACCUCCUCUAAGUGCAUCCCUUACCUUGAUUCUUUCAUUUAUAGAAUUAUUCUUAUUUUCGCUUUGAUUUGUCCUCUCUUUUAUAGCUUCAAAUAAGAUUUUGGAUCACAAUAAGUUCUCAUUUUUUUACGUCUCUGAUCGAAAAUCGAAGUAAAAAGGAAGCAUUACGAGCAUAACACACAACCUGCAAAAUAUAUAUGAAGAAGACAAUCAAUGUCUAAAUGGAAUGAAGAGGGAAGAGCAUAUAAAUAUUCAUGAAUUGUGAGAUAAAAUUAGAACUAGGGAUUAUAUAAAUUUACUCAGAUCUUCCAUUUUCAACAUAAUACUUUACUAAUUAUUUUUCUACAAAGCCAGGUACAAUUAAUGAAAGGCUGUUAGUGUUCCUCAGAUACAAGAAAUGAUGAGCAAGUUGGAAAUAAAUUUUACAUGAUUCUUUCCCAAAUCCUUUACUACUAUUUUUGUCUUUCUUUUUUAUUUUUCCCCUUUCUUUUAUUUCUUCUUUCCCUUAUUUAUUUGUUUAUUUAUAUUGUUAUAGAGUAGUCAAGUCAUUUCCAUGAAUUUUUUAUUAUUAUGGAUUAGAAAACUAAAACUGAUAUUAAAACCACCAGAGCAAUAGUAAAAGCCACAUAUAAUGGUAAUUGACCUCUUUUCUUAUUCUUAGUUUCGAAUUAAUGGAAUUUUAAAAUAAAUAUCCUUUUUUCUUAUGUUUUUUUAUCUUUCUUUUUAGACUUAUUUAAAUUUCCAUCUUCAUAUUCAAAAUUUGAUUUCUAUGGAAUUGACAUUUAUUCUUGUCUGAUGUUUUUUAUUAUGAUUUAUUAUUAUUUAUGGUUGGUAUCUUUUCCAUUUCCAAAUUCUAAUUUAUUAUUGAUCUAUGAGUUUUAAUACUUUUCUAUACUCUGCGCCUAAACUAUGAUUUUUCCUUUUAAGUAAGACAUAAAUUGUCAUUGUGUAUUAUUAAUUUAUUUAAUGAACUAAUUUGUUGCUUAUGAGUAAAAAUCAGGAGGGCUAAUACUUGCUACUAUUAUAUAUUUACAACUUCAAUAUGUUGGUCAUGCUGCUGAUUGUAGGCACUAGAUGUUGCUGAUCAUGUUAUUGGGAUGUACUGCUUUAUCAUGCGGGUAAGAUUCGGUAGACUUAAAGUGUAUCAUUUUGAUGUCAUGCCUGUAACAUUUAUGGCACUAGAUGUUGCUGAUCAUGUUAUUGGGAUGUACUGCUUUAUCAUGCGGGUAAGAUUCGGUAGACUUAAAGUGUAUCAUUUUGAUGUCAUGCCUGUAACAUUUAAGUUUUAUAUUUUCUCAAUAUUAAUAAAUUGUUUAUAAAUUUGAAGGAAAACACGAGAAGGUAAUUAAUUGGUUGAUUUCGAUACUUUAUUUGAUUUUUUUUUUAAUUUAUAUUCUGUAACCAUUUGGGUGAAAAGAAAAGGUACAAUACCUCUUAAAAAGUUCAUGACAAAAUCAGUGACUUUACUACAUGAAAUCUGUAGAUUUGUCAAGCUUCCAAGUUCUAGAAUCAAAUUGAAUCAAAUAGAUGUAUAAUUAGUUACUAAAACACGCGUCUAAUAAAACAUUUUCUAGAUUUUCUCUUGAGGAAAUUCAACUUUACUUGGGAGAAAUGUGUGUUGGUUCUUAAAAUAAAGUUAAUAACCUGAAUAUGAGCUAUUCAGUAGUGAAAAUGAAAAUACACUGACGACAUUGAUGAAAAUUCUGACAAUUUAACUUAGGUGAACUUUUGAGCUAUUGUGACCAAUAGGAUAUAAGAUGCAACANAAUGUAUAUUUUCUCAAUACUAAUAAAUUAUUUAUAAAUUUGAAGGAAAACACGAGAAGGUAAUUGAUUUGUUGAUUUCGAUACUUUAUUUGAUUUUUUUUUUGUAUUUAUAUUUUGUAACCAUUUGGAUGAAAAGGAAAUGCAGAAUACCUAUUAAAAAAUUGAUGACAAAAUCAGUGACUUUACUAGAUGAAAUCUCUAGAUUUGUCAAGCUUCCAAGUUCUGGAAUAAAGUUGAAUCAAAGAGAUGUAUAAUUAGUUACUAAACUACGCGUCUAAUAAAACAUUUUGUAGAUUUUCACUUAAGGAAAUUCAACUUUACUUGGGAGAAACGUGUGUUGGUUCUUAAAAUGAAGAAGUCAAUAAUCUGAAUAUGAAAUAUUCAGCCGUGAAAAUGAAAAUACAAUGACGACAUUGAUGAAAAUUCUGACAAUUUAACAUAGGUGAACUUUUGAGCUAUUGUGACCAAUAGGAUAUAUGAUGCAACAAACAUGAUAGAGGAUUCAUAUCGAAAUAUAUUAUGCAAUUAUAUCACUUCAUAUUGAGAGAUUCCAACUUAAAUAAAACCAAUACCCUUUUGCUCUACAUUUCAUUUUCACGUCGUAUGUCACGACACCAGUGAUUCGUAAAAUUAUUUGGUGAAGUUUCCAUUUACCUCACUUCUAUUUUUAAAAAAUCCCGAUUCUCUCUCUUCCCUCUCUAUACUUUCACAACAUCAUUUUCACUCUUUCCCCUAUCAAGACUCUAUACUCAUCUAAAGCUUCAACAACAAUUUGCUUCUUCUCCAUCUCCUGUAAGUGCAUCCCUUACCCUGAUUCUAUCAUUUAUAGAAUUACGCUCCCUUUCGCUUUGAUUUGUUCUUUCUUUUAAAGCUUCAAAUAUUAUUUUGGAUCACAAUAACUUCUCGUUUUUUUACGUCUCUGAUCGAAAAUCAAAGUAAAAAGGAAGCAUUACGAACAUAACACACAACCUACAAAAUAUAUAUGAAGAAGGCAAUCAAUGUCUAAAUGGAAUGAAGAGGGAAGAGCAUAUAAAUAUUCAUGAAUUGUGAGAUAAAAUCAGAACUAGGGAUUUUAUAAAUUUAAUCAGAUCUUCUAUUUUCAACAUAAAACUUUACUAAUUCUUUUUCAUGAUUCUUUCCCAUACCAUUUACUACUGUUUUUGUCUUUAUUUUUUAUUUUUCCCCUUUCUUUUAUUUCUUCUUUCCCUUAUUUAUUUGUUUAUUUAUAUUGUUGAAGAGUAGUAAGUCAUUUCCAUGAUUUUUUUUAUUAUGGAUUAGAAAACUAAAACCGAUAUUAUAACCACCAUUGCAAUAGUAAAAGCCACAUAUAAUGGUGAUUGACCUCUUUUCUUAUUCUUAGUUUCGAAUCCAUGGAAUUUUAAAAUAAAUAUCCUUUUUUCUUUUGUAUUUUUUAUCUUUCUUUUUAGACUUAUUUAAAUUUCCACUUCAUAUUCAAAAUUUGAUAUCUAUCGAAUUGACAUUUAUUCUUAUCUGAUGCUUCUUAUUAUGAUUUAUUAUUAUUUAUGGUUGGUAUCUUUUCCAUUUUCAAAUUCUAAUUUAUUACUGAUCUAUGAGUUUUAAUACUUUUCUAUACUCUGCGCCUAAACUAUGAUUUUUCCUUUUAAGUAAGACAUAAAAUGUCAUUGUGUAUUAUUAAUUUAUUUAAUGAACUAAUUUGUUGCUUAUGAGUAUAUGAGUUUUAAUACUUUUCUAUACUCUGCGCCUAAACUAUGAUUUUUCCUUUUAAGUAAGACAUAAAAUGUCAUUGUGUAUUAUUAAUUUAUUUAAUGAACUAAUUUGUUGCUUAUGAGUAAAAAUCAGGACGGCUAAUACUUGCUAGUAUUAUAUAUUUCCAACUUCAAUAUGCUGGUCAUGCAGCUGAUUGUAGAGACUAGAUGUUGCAGAUCAUGUUAUUGGGAUGUACUGAUUUAUCAUGCGGGUAAGAUUCGGUAGACUUAAAGUGUAUCAUUUUGAUGUCAUGCAUGUAACAUUUAAGUUUUAUAUUUUCUCAAUACUAAUAAAUUGUUUAUAAAUUUGAAGGAAAACACGAGAAGGUAAUUAAUUGGUAGAUUUAGAUACUUUAUUUGAUUUUUUUAAUUUAUAUUCUGUAACCAUUUGGAUGAAAAGGAAAGGUACAAUACCUCUUAAAAAGUUCAAGACAAAAUCAGUGACUUUACUACAUGAAAUCUCUAGAUUUGUCAAGCUUCCAAGUUCUAGAAUCAAAUUGAAUCAAAUAGAUGUAUAAUUAGUUACUAAAACACACGUCUAAUAAAACAUUUUGUAGACUUUCACUUGAGGAAAUUCAACUUUACUUGGGAGAAACGUGUGUUGGUUCUUAAAAUGAAGUUAAUAACCUGAAUAUGAGCUAUUCAGUAGUGAAAAUGAAAAUACACCGACGACAUUGAUAAAAAUUCUGACAAUUUAACUUAGGUGAACUUUUGAGCUAUCGUGACCAAUAGGAUAUAAGAUGCAACAAACAUGAUAGAGGAUUUAUAUCGAAAUCUAUUAUGCAAUUAUAUCACUUCAUAUUGAGAGAUUCCAACUUAAAUAAAACCAAUGCCAUUUUGCUCUACAUUUCAUUUUCAUGUCGCGUGUCACGACACAAGUGGUUCGUAAAAUUAUUUGGUUGAAAUUUCCAUUUACCUCACUUCUAUUUUUAAAAAAUCCCGAUUCCCUCUCUUCCCUCUCUAUGCUUUCACAACUUCAUUUUCACUCUCUCCCCUAUCAAGACUCUAUUCUGAUCUAAAGCUUCCACAACAACUUGCUUCUUCUCCACCUCCUCUAAGUGCAUCCCUUACCUUGAUUCUUUCAUUUAUAGAAUUAUGCUUAUUUUCGUUUUGAUUUGUUCUUUCGUUUAAAACUUCAAAUAUGAUUUUGGAUCACAAUAAGUUCUCAUUUUUUUACGUCUCUGAUCGAAAAUCGAAGUAAAAAGGAAGCAUUACGAACAUAACACACAACCUACAAAAUAUAUAUGAAGAAGACAAUCAAUGUCUAAAUGGAAUGAAGAGGAAAGAGCAUAUAAAUAUUCAUGAAUUGUGAGAUAAAAUUAGAACUAGGGAUUUUAUAAAUUUACUCAGAUCUUCCAUUUUCAACAUAAUACUUUACUAAUUAUUUUUCUACAAAGCCAGGUACAAUUAAUGAAAGGCUGUUAGUGUUCCUCGGAUACAAGAAAUGAUGAGCAAUUGGAAAUAAAUUUUACAUGAUUCUUUUCCAAAUCCUUUCCUACUGUUUUUGUCUUUUUUUUUCCCUUUUCUUUUAUUUCUUCUUUCCCUUAUUUAUUUGUUUAUUUAUAUUGUUAUAGAGUAGUCAAGUCAUUUCCAUGAUUUUUUUUUAUUAUGGAUUAGAAAACUAAAACAGAUAUUAUAACCACCAGAGCAAUAGUAAAAGCCACAUAUAAUGGUGAUUGACCUUUUUUCUUAUUUUUAGUUUCGAAUCAAUGGAAUUUAAAAAUAAAUAUCCUUUUUUCUUAUGUUUCAUUUAUCUUUCUUUUUAGACUUAUUUAAAUUUCCAUCUUCAUAUUCAAAAUUUGAUUUCUAUCGAAUUGACAUUUAUUCUUGUUUGAUGUUUUUUUUAUUAUGAUUUAUUAUUAUUUAUGGUUGGUAUCUUUUUCAUUUUCAAAUUCUAAUUUAUUAUUGAUCUAUUAGUUUUAAUACUUUUCUAUAUUCUACGCCUAACUAUGAUUUGUCCUUUUAAGUAAGACAUAAAAUGUCAUUAUGUAUUAUUAAUUUAUUUAAUGAACUAAUUUGUUGCUUAUGAGUAAAAAUCAGGAGGGCUAAUACUUGCUAGUAUUAUAUAUUUCCAACUUCAAUAUGCUGGUCAUGCUGCUGAUUGUAGGCACUAGAUGUUGCUGAUCAUGUUAAUGGGAUGUACUGGUUUAUCAUGCGGGUAAGAUUCGGUAGACUUAAAGUGUAUCAUUUUGAUGUCAUGCCUGUAACAUUUAAGUUUUAUAUUUUCUCAAUACUAAUAAAUUGUUUAUAAAUUUGAAGGAAAACACGAGAAGUUUGGUUGAUUUCGAUACUUUAUUUGAUUUUUUUUUAAUUUAUAUUCUGUAACCAUUUGGAUGAAAAGGAAAGGUACAAUACCUCUUAAAAAGUUCAUGACAAAAUCAGUGACUUUACUACAUGAAAUAUCUAGAUUUGUCAAGCUUCCAAGUUCUAGAAUCAAAUUGAAUCAAAUAGAUGUAUAAUUAGUUACUAAAACACGCGUCUAAUAAAACAUUUUCUAGAUUUUCACUUGAGGAAAUUCAAAUUUACUUGGGAGAAACGCAUGUUGGUUCUUAAAAUGAAGUCAAUAACCUGAAUAUGAGCUAUUCAGCAGUGAAAAUGAAAAUACACUGACGACAUUGAUGAAAAUUCUGACAAUUUAACUUAGGUGAACUUUUGACCUAUUGUGACCAAUAGGAUAUAAGAUGCAACAAACAUGAUAGAGGAUUCAUAUCGGAAUCUAUUAUGCAAUUAUAUCACUUCAUAUUGAGAGAUUCCAACUUAAAUAAAACCAAUGCCCUUUUGCUCUGAAUCUAUUAUGCAAUUAUAUCACUUCAUAUUGAGAGAUUCCAACUUAAAUAAAACCAAUGCCCUUUUGCUCUACAUUUCAUUUUCAUGUCGUGUGUCACGACACCAGUGGUUUGUAAAAUUAUUUGUUGAAAUUUCCAUUUAUCUCACUUCCAUUUUUAAAAAAUCCCGAUUCCCUCUCUUCCCUCUCUACGCUUUCACAACUUCAUUUUCACUCUCUCCCUUAUCAAGACUCUAUUCUGAUCUAAAGCUUCAAUAACAACUUGCUUCU
rnacentral:lncRNA from 1 species